rnacentral:tRNA from 1 species
AAGAAAUUAGUUAAUUCAUAACAUUAGUAUGUCAUACUAAAAUAAUUAAAUACUUUAAUAUUUCUUU